rnacentral:rRNA from 1 species
GGAAAAAUGGGGGGCGGGCUAACACAUGCAAGUCGAGCGGAAACGAGUUAACUGAACCUUCGGGGAACGUUAACGGCGUCGAGCGGCGGACGGGUGAGUAAUGCCUGGGAAAUUGCCCUGAUGUGGGGGAUAACCAUUGGAAACGAUGGCUAAUACCGCAUAAUAGCCCGGUUCUUCGGAAUGGGUCUCAAAGAGGGGGACCUUUUAGGCCUCUCGCGUCAGGAUAUGCCCAGGUGGAAUUAGCUAGUUGGUGAGGUAAUGGCUCACCAAGGCGACGAUCCCUAGCUGGUCUGAGAGGAUGAUCAGCCACACUGGAACUGAGACACGGUCCAGACUCCUACGGGAGGCAGCAGUGGGGAAUAUUGCACAAUGGGCGCAAGCCUGAUGCAGCCAUGCCGCGUGUAUGAAGAAGGCCUUCGGGUUGUAAAGUACUUUCAGCAGUGAGGAAGGUGGGUAUGUUAAUAGCAUACACAUUUGACGUUAGCUGCAGAAGAAGCACCGGCUAACUCCGUGCCAGCAGCCGCGGUAAUACGGAGGGUGCGAGCGUUAAUCGGAAUUACUGGGCGUAAAGCGCAUGCAGGUGGUUUGUUAAGUCAGAUGUGAAAGCCCGGGGCUCAACCUCGGAAUUGCAUUUGAAACUGGCAAACUAGAGUACUGUAGAGGGGGGGUAGAAUUUCAGGUGUAGCGGUGAAAUGCGUAGAGAUCUUGUAUGAAUACGGGUGGCUAA